rnacentral:rRNA from 1 species
AUUGAACGCUGGCGGCAUGCCUUACACAUGCAAGUCGAACGGCAGCGGGUCCUUCGGGAUGCCGGCGAGUGGCGAACGGGUGAGUAAUGCAUCGGAACGUACCCAGUAGUGGGGGAUAACUUACCGAAAGGUAAGCUAAUACCGCAUACGCACUGAGGUGGAAAGCAGGGGACCGCAAGGCCUUGCGCUAUUGGAGCGGCCGAUGUCGGAUUAGCUAGUUGGUGGGGUAAAGGCCUACCAAGGCGACGAUCCGUAGCGGGUCUGAGAGGAUGAUCCGCCACACUGGAACUGAGACACGGUCCAGACUCCUACGGGAGGCAGCAGUGGGGAAUUUUGGACAAUGGGCGCAAGCCUGAUCCAGCCAUGCCGCGUGAGUGAAGAAGGCCUUCGGGUUGUAAAGCUCUUUCGGCCGGGAAGAAAUCGUGGUGGCGAAUACCUGCCAUGGAUGACGGUACCGGACUAAGAAGCACCGGCUAACUACGUGCCAGCAGCCGCGGUAAUACGUAGGGUGCGAGCGUUAAUCGGAAUUACUGGGCGUAAAGCGUGCGCAGGCGGUUGUGUAAGACAGGCGUGAAAUCCCCGGGCUCAACCUGGGAACUGCGCUUGUGACUGCACGGCUAGAGUACGGCAGAGGGGGGUGGAAUUCCACGU